GGAUGGUUGGGUUGGAAGGGGUCUCAAAGAUCAUCCAGUUCCAACUCCCUGCCCACCAGGCGAUGCUUGAUGAUGCAUUUUAGAGCAUGACUUUGCUUAUCUUUGUGUAUUAUUCCUUGACUCACUGCUCCAUUAGACACCAAAACAAAAGCACAGCAUGCUCCGGUGACUCUGCAAGAUGAAAGAGCUCAGCUUCAGGUUAGCCAGAAAUAGCAGUGAGGAUUGCAGGCUGACGGCGCGAGGAUAAGGGGAGGGCAGUGCAGAAGCCUGGGAGAAGCACUUCAGAUGACAAGAAGAUGAAAAGAAAUGGGAUACGUCUUAAAAGUCCAACGUGGCCCAAAUGAGUGCCUUUGUUUCAGGGAGGGCUUUCUCCCAUUUAGUAUCUGUUCACCAAAAGCAAAUAAAAGCAUUAAGGCUGGAAAA